AGAAAGCAGGAUGAAAUGCAUAGCAAUUAGUAACUUCCCCAUGAAAACGUGUACAGGAACCUUUUCAGUUUUAGUGCUGGAGCUUGCAAGCAAGUCUGGGAGGCGUGGAAGGGCUUUACAUAAGACAGUGCUGCAACGUGCUACACUUCCCAAAGUUCACUCUGGAAGAGGUUGAAAAUAAAUGAAGAAGACCUUCUUGAGGCCAAAGAAAAGUAAUUUAUUAGUCCUUAAGGCUGAAGCAUAUAAAUUUGGAAGGCCUUCGAGGGGCUAAAGAAAAUAAAUUAAACCUAAAAAGAUGCUACUUCAGGGACAAAGA